rnacentral:rRNA from 1 species
ACCGUAGAGUUCGAUUUGGGAGGUUGUGCCCUUGAGGCGUGGCUUCCGGAGCUAACGCGUUAAAUCGACCGCCUGGGGAGUACGGCCGCAAGGUUAAAACUCAAAUGAAUUGACGGGGGCCCGCACAAGCGGUGGAGCAUGUGGUUUAAUUCGAUGCAACGCGAAGAACCUUACCUACUCUUGACAUCCAGAGAACUUUCCAGAGAUGGUUUGGUGCCUUCGGGAACUCUGAGACAGGUGCUGCAUGGCUGUCGUCAGCUCGUGUUGUGAAAUGUUGGGUUAAGUCCCGCAACGAGCGCAACCCUUAUCCUUUGUUGCCAGCGGUUCGGCCGGGAACUCAAAGGAGACUGCCAGUGAUAAACUGGAGGAAGGUGGGGAUGACGUCAAGUCAUCAUGGCCCUUACGAGUAGGGCUACACACGUGCUACAAUGGCGUAUACAAAGAGAAGCGACCUCGCGAGAGCAAGCGGACCUCAUAAAGUACGUCGUAGUCCGGAUUGGAGUCUGCAACUCGACUCCAUGAAGUCGGAAUCGCUAGUAAUCGUAGAUCAGAAUGCUACGGUGAAUACGUUCCCGGGCCUUGUACACACCGCCCGUCACACCAUGGGAGUGGGUUGCAAAAGAAGUAGGUAGCUUAACCUUCGGGAGGGCGCUUACCACUUUGUGAUUCAUGACUGGGGUGAAGUCGUAACAAGGUAACCGA